rnacentral:rRNA from 1 species
UCGAGCGGAAACGAUGGAGCUUGCUCCAGGCGUCGAGCGGCGGACGCGUGAGUAAUGCAUAGGAAUCUGCCCGGUAGUGGGGGAUAACCUGGGGAAACCCAGGCUAAUACCGCAUACGUCCUACGGGAGAAAGCAGGGGAUCUUCGGACCUUGCGCUAUCGGAUGAGCCUAUGUCGGAUUAGCUUGUUGGUGAGGUAAUGGCUCACCAAGGCGACGAUCCGUAGCUGGUCUGAGAGGAUGAUCAGCCACAUCGGGACUGAGACACGGCCCGAACUCCUACGGGAGGCAGCAGUGGGGAAUAUUGGACAAUGGGCGAAAGCCUGAUCCAGCCAUGCCGCGUGUGUGAAGAAGGCUUUCGGGUUGUAAAGCACUUUCAGUGAGGAAGAAGGCCUUGGGGCUAAUACCCCCGAGGAAGGACAUCACUCACAGAAGAAGCACCGGCUAACUCCGUGCCAGCAGCCGCGGUAAUACGGAGGGUGCGAGCGUUAAUCGGAAUUACUGGGCGUAAAGCGCGCGUAGGCGGCGUGAUAAGCCGGUUGUGAAAGCCCCGGGCUCAACCUGGGAACGGCAUCCGGAACUGUCAGGCUAGAGUGCAGGAGAGGAAGGUAGAAUUCCCGGUGUAGCGGUGAAAUGCGUAGAGAUCGGGAGGAAUACCAGUGGCGAAGGCGGCCUUCUGGACUGACACUGACGCUGAGGUGCGAAAGCGUGGGUAGCAAACAGGAUUAGAUACCCUGGUAGUCCACGCCGUAAACGAUGUCGACUAGCCGUUGGGGUCCUUGAGACCUUUGUGGCGCAGUUAACGCGAUAAGUCGACCGCCUGGGGAGUACGGCCGCAAGGUUAAAACUCAAAUGAAUUGACGGGGGCCCGCACAAGCGGUGGAGCAUGUGGUUUAAUUCGAUGCAACGCGAAGAACCUUACCUACCCUUGACAUCGUGCGAACUUUCCAGAGAUGGAUUGGUGCCUUCGGGAGCGCACAGACAGGUGCUGCAUGGCUGUCGUCAGCUCGUGUUGUGAAAUGUUGGGUUAAGUCCCGUAACGAGCGCAACCCUUGUCCCUAUUUGCCAGCGAUUCGGUCGGGAACUCUAGGGAGACUGCCGGUGACAAACCGGAGGAAGGUGGGGACGACGUCAAGUCAUCAUGGCCCUUACGGGUAGGGCUACACACGUGCUACAAUGGCCGGUACAAAGGGUUGCGAAGCCGCGAGGUGGAGCUAAUCCCGGAAAGCCGGUCUCAGUCCGGAUCGGAGUCUGCAACUCGACUCCGUGAAGUCGGAAUCGCUAGUAAUCGUGAAUCAGAAUGUCACGGUGAAUACGUUCCCGGGCCUUGUACAC